rnacentral:snoRNA from 1 species
UAAUAUUGUAAACACAGUGCAAGAUGAACUCCCUUCGAGCAGAAGGGCCAGUCCUUCUCCCCAUGGUCUGUCCCUUUCAAUAGUUGGGUACAAAU